GACAAUUGCAUUAGCUUCAAAUAAACCCAUGCUAUAUAUGAUACAUUUUGAUUUUUUUUUUGUGAGACUCGUCUCAUGAGGAUCUGUUUCAUAAUAUUGAUAAUUCGGGAAACAAGGAUCGGAAAACCCCCAAUUUAUACAAUCGUUAGAUGAGAAAGCGGCAAUGAUAUAUGAACAGGUGGAUUUUUUCAACUAGCAAGGGAAUGAUGAUGGUUGAAAUAGAUCUUAACAAAUCAACAAAAGCCUAUAGCAAAUAUAAUAUAAUAUCAGACAUAUAUAAUAGCCAGUUAAUUAUCAUUUCGAGGUCAAUUACUAAACAGCAAGAUUUGCAGGAUGAAUUUAAAAUACAAGUAGAUACGUGAAUUAGCAAAGGAUUAUGAUGGUUAAAUCACCUUAUAACAAAUAAAACAUAGUAUUACAUCAGAGUACUCUAAUUCCUAUAAGCAUUCACUCAGAUUGCCCAAUUCUCGUGUAUCCAAGAUUACCAAUU